AUGCUUACUUUGGCAGCACAUGUGCUGGAAUUGGAAUGAUACAGAGAAGAUUAGCAUAGCCCCUGCACAAGGAUGAUGCAAGUUUGUGAAGUAUUUCGUAUUUAA